rnacentral:rRNA from 1 species
AGUGAACGCUGGCGGUAGGCCUAACACAUGCAAGUCGAACGGCAGCACAGUAAGAGCUUGCUCUUACUGUUGGCGAGUGGCGGACGGGUGAGGCAUACAUCGCCAUCUACUUUUUCGUGGGUGAUUACGUAGGGCAACUUACGCUAAUACCUCAUACUACCUACGGGUUAAAUCAGGAGAUCUUCGCACCUUGCGCGAUUCAAUUAGCCGAUGUCGGAUUAGCUAGUUGGCUUGGUAAAGGCCCACCAAGGCGACGAUCCGUAGCUGGUCUGAGAGGAUGAUCAGCCACACUGGAACUGAGACACGGUCCAGACUCCUACGGGAGGCAGCAGUGGGGAAUAUUGGACAAUGGGCGAAAGCCUGAUCCAGCCAUACCGCGUGAGUGAAGAAGGCCUUCGGGUUGUAAAGCCCUGUUGUUGGGAAAGAAAAGAAGCAGGUUAAUACCCCGAUGUUCUGACGGUACCCAAAGAAUAAGCAACGGCUAACUUCGUG